AUGGCCUCCACGUCGUCGUCUCCGCUCUCUCUUGUCCUCCUCCGGCCGCUCCCAUGCAGAUCCCUCCUCCUCUCCAAGCACGGGAGGCCAUUUCCCACCCCAAGAACCGGCCGCCUGGCAGCGUCAGCCGCAGCAGGAGCUCAGCAGCGGUUGCUGCGGCCGCCGGAGACCGGCCGCUGGAGCAGGAGCUCGAGGAGCGGCAGAGACUUCGCGUGCUUAUCCUACAACAACCCGCCACCGCCUUCCAGUAAGGAUUCGAACGAGUGGCCCGUCCUUCGCCGAUGGGAUGUGCCAUGGGAGUGGCAAACUGUUGUCCUCAGCAUGGUGGGCUGUGGAGUAAGCUUUGCUCUGACAGGAUUGGUUGAGCAGUCGAUACUGCAAUACGUAGGGUUUUCAGCCGCGGGGGCAACUAUAGAUGAGAAGGCAGAAAUACUGUUCCUCGGACAACUUAGCGUGACUGCUGUUGUGCUUGGUGUUAUAUUUAGCAUCACCAAUACCUUCCGACCAUUCCCUGAGGAUGUCUUCUGUUACGAUGUCAAAGAACCAUUCAAGCUGCAAAAUGGCUGGCUUCUGUGGGCUGGUAUUGGCCUCUUUGGUGCAGUCAUUUCCAUUGCUUUAGUUGGAGCUGCCAUGACCUAUCUGAAUGGUGCACCUCCAGAGAGAGAGAAGGACUCGCUGGUCCUUUUACUGCCACUAAUUGGCUCAUCAACUCUCAGCACUGCCUAUUUGGUGGGGAUUACUGGAGUUCUAGCACCAAUUCUGGAGGAGACUGUGUUCCGAGGAUUUCUAAUGGUGUCCUUGACUAAGUGGUUUCCUACUCCAGUCUGCGUGAUUCUCAGUGCUGCUGUAUUUGCCUUCGCCCAUUUGACACCUGAUCAAUUCCCACAACUGUUUGUACUUGGUGUUGCACUGGGGUUUACAUAUGCUCAAACUCGCAAUCUUCUAGCUCCUAUUACAAUACAUGCAUUUUGGAACUCGGGAGUUAUACUACUGCUAACCUUUCUUCAGUUGCAAGGGUACGAUAUCAAGGAGCUAUUGGGGGCGUCUUGA
rnacentral:rRNA from 1 species